UGGGGAAUUUUGGACAAUGGGCGAAAGCCUGAUCCAGCAAUGCCGCGUGUGUGAAGAAGGCCUUCGGGUUGUAAAGCACUUUUGUCCGGAAAGAAAUCCUUGGCUCUAAUACAGUCGGGGGAUGACGGUACCGGAAGAAUAAGCACCGGCUAACUACGUGCCAGCAGCCGCGGUAAUACGUAGGGUGCAAGCGUUAAUCGGAAUUACUGGGCGUAAAGCGUGCGCAGGCGGUUUGCUAAGACCGAUGUGAAAUCCCCGGGCUCAACCUGGGAACUGCAUUGGUGACUGGCAGGCUAGAGUAUGGCAGAGGGGGGUAGAAUUCCACGUGUAGCAGUGAAAUGCGUAGAGAUGUGGAGGAAUACCGAUGGCGAAGGCGAGCCCCCUGGGCCAAAUACUGACGCCCAUGCACGAAAGCGUGGGGGAGCAAAACAGGAUUAGAUACCCUGGUAGUCCACGCCCUAAACGAUGUCAACUAGUUGUUGGGGAUUCAUUUCCUUAGUAACGUAGCUAACGCGUGAAGUUGACCGCCUGGGGAGUACGGUCGCAAGAUUAAAACUCAAAUGAAUUGACGGGGUCAUAGCUG
rnacentral:rRNA from 1 species